rnacentral:rRNA from 1 species
UACGUAGGGUGCGAGCGUUAAUCGGAAUUACUGGGCGUAAAGCGUGCGCAGGCGGUUUUGUAAGUCAGAUGUGAAAUCCCCGGGCUUAACCUGGGAACUGCGUUUGAAACUACAAGGCUAGAGUGUGGCAGAGGGGGGUGGAAUUCCACGUGUAGCAGUGAAAUGCGUAGAGAUGUGGAGGAACACCGAUGGCGAAGGCAGCCCCCUGGGUUAACACUGACGCUCAGGCACGAAAGCGUGGGGAGCAAACAGGAUUAGAAACCCCAGUAGUCC